UUGAUGUUUCCAGUCAUGAAAAUGAAGCUGGGCAGACAAUGUGCCUUUCUUGGGGAACAGUGUGCGUGUGUUUGUACUGUUAUUACAGUCCUACGCAUAUAUUUGGAGGCUACAGAGGCCUUUGUGGUUGGAUUUCAGGCAAAGUUUUUUCGCAGUGAAAAGAUUUCGACUAAAUAUCGGAGCAGCAUAAGCAGAAGAAUAAUGCAGACGACAACGCAGCGGUUCAUCUCAGCUGUAAUGAGAGAUCCGUUGAACCGGCUACGCGACGUAGGAACGGGACUGGAUUCCCAGAAGCGGCGAGGAAGUUUUCCGUAGUUAAAGUGCCCAGAACGGCUUCGGGGUUCACAUAAACUUCAGUGAAACUGGUACUAGGAAAUCGAGUUCUUAAACUGAAAAUUUAGUUCCUUCUGAUGCCUUCGUGUUGGAUGCAAAAUGCAAACCAGAGUAUGCUCAAAAUAUUAUGAUGUAUAUUAGUGACUAAUAAAGAGGGUUUGG